rnacentral:ncRNA from 1 species
GACUGUCUAAUUGAAACACAGCAUCGUAUAGCCAGCUGAGCCGCACAGACGCGUUCUGAUUUCUGCCUAGUGCUCUUAAUGUCAAAGUGAAGAAAUUCAACCAUGCGCGGGUAAACGGCACGAUUAACUAUAACUCUCGUUCCAUAGCUAGAUGGCUAGAUACACAAAACAAUAAACACAUUCACAGCUCCUCAGAUAAUUACAUAGACGCGAAUAUAUAAAUAUAC